rnacentral:misc_RNA from 1 species
CAAAUCAAUCCUAACAUUGCUUACCGCAAUAUCCUCUUCCUUCAGGAACACAACACCAUUUUUCCGUGAAUUUGAAGCCCUUAAUACCCCAGAUUAUUGAUUACAAACAGCAGGGGAAACAUUUUAAACAAAUGCACGCAUAUGUUUAUAGGACCAAGUUUUUGUGACAACCAGGGAACAAACAUUAUCCUGUGAACUGUGAAGUGACAUCUUUGAAAUUCUCUACUUUGUCCCUAGGAACAGCAUGCUCAUUACAAACUGACAUAGAGAAAUGAAACACCUUUUACUAUUAUCAAGUGCAUAAUAAAGGAGCACUAACAUCACAUACACUAUAAAAACAUAAGAUUCAUAAUUUACAUGCCUUCCAUGAGACAAUAGUAAUAUUAAAAUGGAUGCCAGAUGUUCUUAAUUGAGAGGAAAAUGUAGGUAAGCCAUUAGCAAAGCUUCUUUACCUGGUACAAAUAUCUCCUGCGUAUGCAGGGGAUCAUGUCCCUAGAUACACUUAGGUGGAUUUGGACCGUCAUACUAUGAGAAACAAGAGCCACCUAUAUCCAGGACAAUGCCAAACUAAUAAUUGUCCCCCUUCCUGCUAACCAUUGGGGUAUGCUGUUUUGUUAAAUAAAAAGUAACGAUCCAUGUUCUUCAUUACAUAUGGAUUUAUGUUAAAUAUGUGAGAACACUAAUAGGGACUAGAUUCCAAGAUAGAAGUUCAUAGGAGAAUAUAUAGAGGGAUCAAAAUAUGAUCAUGGCAUGACUAAGCCAAAAAAUUGGCAUGGCAAGAGUAGACCUAAUUGUUAGCAUGACAUGGUUGGAAAUUUAGACUUCCACACAAUGCCACAUAGAAAAACCCAGUGGAGAUUCCGACCACAACAUCGGAGCAAUAAUCAUACCUUCUUUCCACACCAAAUUUAAGUAUCUUAAGCUAAUAUUAUAAAUAUACAAAACAUAUAAUAUGUAUAAAUGCAUAUAAAUAUUUAAAAAUACAAAGAAAUACGCAAACUUAAAUACAUACAUAUAACUUGUGUGAGAUAUCACACAAAAUAAAGCAGUCAACAUGAAGGUGCACAGCAUCUACAUAUCAGUCAUUUGACAUGACUAUCCAAUACAAUUCUGCGCUUUUUAUUUUACUCUUUGUUUUUCUUUUUCCUUAUUUUUUAUGGAUAGUUAUCAUGUUAAGAAGUAUCAUGCGAUGAAAUACAAGAAAAGCUUCCAAGCAUGAACACACAACUAAAACUUCUGAAGCAGCCAGUUGAUGCAAAAAUGUGAAAUUUUACAAAUGAAUUAAGAUUACCUUCUUGAAUCACAGUUAAGCACAAUGGUGUGAUGGCCUUUUUCUUUCUUUUGUUUUUACAUUCUAACAUCUUUUGAAUACAAUAAGUAAUACAAUUGUUUGUGUCUAAAGCUCGCAUAAGAAUGCUAUUGGUAGUCACCUAGUCACUAGAAAUGAUGUGGCAUCAUUUCAAAUUCAGAGUCAAUAUCAAUAUCAUGCUCUUCAAAAUAUGACCAGCCAUUUUCGUGGACAUUUGUUCAUGAAACCUAGGAAUACAAUUACAUCAAAAACAGAUAAGGGAGAUAACCUGCAAACUCAUAAAAGCUUUGAAAUCUUUUCUAUUUAUUGGGAAAUAGCAUUUUAGAUAGCAAGAUUUGAGAGAAUCAAAUUCAUCUAAGAAAACAAAAAAAAAGCUCUAAGGCUCCUCCAACAUUAGAGAUCCACUGGUUGCACCAAAAAGUAACCUCUCAAACUACGACCUUAAGGAACCUGAUAACUAAAUUGCAGUUUAAGUGAAAGACAAAUGACAACAUAUGCAGAAGUUCAAAAACUUGUUCCAAGUUCCAACUUCGAAGUACACGUAUAGAUCUUACAUUCAUGAAAUGCAUAAAGCAUCAACUGAUAUGAAAACAUACUAUUCAAGCAGAAACAUGUAUUCAUGAAAUUGGAGGCUGAUGUUUCAUUAUGUUAACUGAAACUCUGAAUGUAGUCCAUCUAAGACAUAAAAACAUUAUAUUUUUCACCAUUUAUAACACUGGGGAGAAACUCGCAUUGAAACAAGUGAUAAAGGACCACGGCCCACAUCAUGCGGCAGAAGUCCUACAAUUGGAUGAACAGAUAAUAGGACUAAAAAACUAAAAACCAGUUUCAUAUAGAGGCAGUUCAAGUUAAACCCAACAAAUCACCUGCAAGCUUCACUGUCUGAACAUCAAAGUAAUCGAUGCCUAGCUCCAAACCCCCUGAUAAUUUUUCAGCCUUUCCACAGCAUCACCAGCAAGCCAAUAUACCAUGAAGGGAGGGCUCAAACCUAGAAUACAGAGCCCCAGGAUAAACCAUGUGGGUUGCACCUAAAACACAACGAAAGUGUAUUUUACCUACAUGAUGUAAACUGUAUAAUGACAUUAUCAUUAAACCAUUUAAAACCCAGAGUGUAUUUGAGCAAUUCCUUGACACUAAAUACAUCUAACCAGAAAAAUAGUCUCAGACAUUACUCUAAGCUAUAUUCAAACUAAAUACCAAAGGACAAUACAUUUUAUGAUUUAAUCAUAAUUUUGUUUUAGUAUUUUAAGCAAAGAACAGAAAAGACACCUUCACCUAGUUGCUUGAGCUCCCGAAGCCUGUUAUACCAAAAAAAGAAAGAGUAAAAAAUUAUUGCCCGGUGACAAAGGAUGAACUUGCCUCUCAAACAGCUCGGUAUCCAUAGACUUCAAACAGCAGGGAUCGAGAUAGAAGUUGCCAUGGACAAUGUCAUGAACUUGCUCGAGUAAUUGGAGAUUGUGAGCACUGACGGAGGCAUUAAGGGUCCAAGGGGU